rnacentral:lncRNA from 1 species
AAAAAAAAGAAAAAAAAAGAAAAAAAGAAAGAGGAGGGUGCAAAAUCAAAAGAAACCCAAAUCAAAAGAAAGAAAAAGAAAGAAAGAAACAAAAGGAAAAUAGCACCCUCAAAGUCCCAAGUUGGUUGAUGCUGAAUUCGAUCGAAAAGAAGAGAUCAACUGCCAUGUGUCAUGGACAAUCAUAUCAGCAGAGAGUGAAA